GUCGAACGAACUCUGGUAUUGAUUGGUGCUUGCAUCAUGAUUUACAUUUGAGUGAGUGGCGAACUGGUGAGUAACACGUGGGAAACCUGCCCAGAAGCGGGGGAUAACACCUGGAAACAGAUGCUAAUACCGCAUAACAACUUGGACCGCAUGGUCCGAGUUUGAAAGAUGGCUUCGGCUAUCACUUUUGGAUGGUCCCGCGGCGUAUUAGCUAGAUGGUGAGGUAACGGCUCACCAUGGCAAUGAUACGUAGCCGACCUGAGAGGGUAAUCGGCCACAUUGGGACUGAGACACGGCCCAAACUCCUACGGGAGGCAGCAGUAGGGAAUCUUCCACAAUGGACGAAAGUCUGAUGGAGCAACGCCGCGUGAGUGAAGAAGGGUUUCGGCUCGUAAAACUCUGUUGUUAAAGAAGAACAUAUCUGAGAGUAACUGUUCAGGUAUUGACGGUAUUUAACCAGAAAGCCACGGCUAACUACGUGCCAGCAGCCGCGGUAAUACGUAGGUGGCAAGCGUUGUCCGGAUUUAUUGGGCGUAAAGCGAGCGCAGGCGGUUUUUUAAGUCUGAUGUGAAAGCCUUCGGCUCAACCGAAGAAGUGCAUCGGAAACUGGGAAACUUGAGUGCAGAAGAGGACAGUGGAACUCCAUGUGUAGCGGUGAAAUGCGUAGAUAUAUGGAAGAACACCAGUGGCGAAGGCGGCUGUCUGGUCUGUAACUGACGCUGAGGCUCGAAAGUAUGGGUAGCAAACAGGAUUAGAUACCCUGGUAGUCCAUACCGUAAACGAUGAAUGCUAAGUGUUGGAGGGUUUCCGCCCUUCAGUGCUGCAGCUAACGCAUUAAGCAUUCCGCCUGGGGAGUACGGCCGCAAGGCUGAAACUCAAAGGAAUUGACGGGGGCCCGCACAAGCGGUGGAGCAUGUGGUUUAAUUCGAAGCUACGCGAAGAACCUUACCAGGUCUUGACAUACUAUGCAAAUCUAAGAGAUUAGACGUUCCCUUCGGGGACAUGGAUACAGGUGGUGCAUGGUUGUCGUCAGCUCGUGUCGUGAGAUGUUGGGUUAAGUCCCGCAACGAGCGCAACCCUUAUUAUCAGUUGCCAGCAUUAAGUUGGGCACUCUGGUGAGACUGCCGGUGACAAACCGGAGGAAGGUGGGGAUGACGUCAAAUCAUCAUGCCCCUUAUGACCUGGGCUACACACGUGCUACAAUGGAUGGUACAACGAGUUGCGAACUCGCGAGAGUAAGCUAAUCUCUUAAAGCCAUUCUCAGUUCGGAUUGUAGGCUGCAACUCGCCUACAUGAAGUCGGAAUCGCUAGUAAUCGCGGAUCAGCAUGCCGCGGUGAAUACGUUCCCGGGCCUUGUACACACCGCCCGUCACACCAUGAGAGUUUGUAACACCCAAAGUCGGUGGGGUAACCUUUUAGGAACCAGCCGCCU
rnacentral:rRNA from 2 species